UUCUGCAUCCUCCGUUAUGGAAUUAGAGACUGAAGUGAAAAUAACCUCUGGGGCAUUGUCAUUCUCAUCUAAAAUUUCUAUUAUAAUUUUACAUUCAGUGGCCAUGCCUCCACCAUCCUUGGCUUCUAUGUUCAUGUGUUUUGAAGGAGUAGGUGAUCUCUGCAUUGAUGCCCUCAUCCUGGUCGACGGCUGUCACCUUUAGCACAGAGGUGCCCAAGGAAUCAUUUGCUGAGGAGAGCGCCUGAAUCUGGGCUUUAUCGCCUUUCAGAAUUGCUUCCGUGACUGCG